rnacentral:lncRNA from 8 species
GAGGUUGGGGGUCAGAGGGGGCAGUAGGUCAGAUUGAGAGGUUGGGGGUCAGAGGGGGCAGUAGGUCAGAUUGAGAGGUUGGUGGUCAGGGGGCAGUAGGUCAGAUUGAGAGGUUGGGGGUCAGAGGGCAGCAGGUCGGAUUGAGAGGUUGGGGGUCAGAGGGCAGCAGGUCGGAUUGAGAGGUUGGGGGUCAGAGGGCAGCAGGUCAGAUUGAGAGGUUGGCGGUCAGAGGGGGCAGUAGGUCAGAUUGAGAGGUUGGGGGGUCAGAGGGGGCGUUGUGUCAAAUUGGUACCUAAACAUGGUAGACACGUGCCCCAGGCUGUGGAAUUACUGCUAGACCAUCCAGGACACAGGUGUCUUGUAUUUGUGUGUAAAUGAAUCAGUGGGUGUGUUCCAGGAAUGUUCUACAGUGUUCCGUGAGUUUGUGUCGUUACUCAGACAGAAGUUUAGCUCCGCCUCCGGGUCGUGUGAUGUCACCAUCCCUGACACCAAGACACAGCUGUUCUCACGGUUUAAGGUGUACACCCUAGAGGACAUGUCAGAUGAGAAAACCAAGGACUCACUCAACAGGUAUACAACAAUACAACUGUCUGACAUGACUAUAAUACAUGACAACAAUACAACUAUCUGACAUGACUAUAAUACAUGACAACAAUACAACUAUCUGACAUGACUAUAAUACAUGACAACAAUCUGACAUGACUAUAAUACAUGACAACAAUACAACUAUCUGACAUGACUAUAAUACAUGACAACAAUACAACUAUCUGACAUGACUAGAAUACAUGACAACAAUACAACUAUCUGACAUGACUAGAAUACAUGACAACAAUACAACUAUCUGACAUGACUAGAAUACAUGACAACAAUACAACUAUCUGACAUGACUAGAAUACAUGACAACAAUACAACUAUCUGACAUGACUAGAAUACAUGACAACAAUACAACUAUCUGACAUGACUAUAAUACAUGACAACAAUACAACUAUCUGACAUGACUAUAAUACAUGACAACAAUACAACUAUCUGACAUGACUAGAAU